UACGUAGGGGGCAAGCGUUGUCCGGAAUCAUUGGGCGUAAAGAGCGUGUAGGCGGCUCGGUAAGUCCGCUGUGAAAGUCCAGGGCUCAACCCUGGAAUGCCGGUGGAAACUGUCGAGCUAGAGUCCGGAAGAGGCGAGUGGAAUUCCUGGUGUAGCGGUGAAAUGCGCAGAUAUCAGGAGGAACACCAAUGUCGAAGGCAGCUCGCUGGGACGGUACUGACGCUGAGACGCGAAAGCGUGGGGAGCAAACAGG
rnacentral:rRNA from 1 species